GGGACACUGAGAGAGAGAGAGAAAGAGAGAGUUGAUACUAAGAAGAAUGUCUCACACUCUGUAAGGUGAAAUACCAAUGUUUGGGCAUCAACAUGCCUUUUUCAGGGUUGUCUGGUUGAAAUGCAUCUCUCUCCCUCUCAGUGUCCAUGCUAUCUCCACCUCUCUUUUUCUUAGAUCUCUCUCCCUCUCUUUCUCUUCUCUCUCCCACCCUCUUAUUUUUCUUUCCCCCUCUCUCUUUUUCUCCUCCCCCCUCUGUCUUGUACCUCUCUCCCCCGCGCUCUUUCUCCUAUCCUCUUGCCUUCUCUUCCUUUCUCUCUCUUUACCCUCAUCCCUCCCUCUCACUCAUCCCUGCCUCCCCCCUCCCUCGCUGUGUCUCUCACAGCCUCUGCUCUGUAGUUCUUUUGUUUGGGUCAAGAGACAUCCCUACAGUCAUCUCCAGGGCUGAGCGCCUGGGAGACGGGAGAAAGCAGCAACAGGGGUACUUCUAGAAGAACCCAUUAUAUUCUCUGAUACUCCAGGAGCCAACCAGAGAAAUGUAUAGAUCUGCCAAUAAAACCAGCUAAGGAAAGUUGGAGCGCGAUAGAUUACAUCAUGUAUUUUCUGAAUAACUUUCAAAAACUUCAGGUAAAUAUUUAUACAAUGUUUCUUGGCUGUGUCUGUCAUAUUAUUCUGCAGUAGAGGACUGCGUUGAUCUUUAAAAAGUUUGUUGGGGCUAGAUUACGUUAUGAUAAACAUGUUCGUUUUACUUCCAGAUAUCUAAUAGCUCUUAAAUGGGCUGAAUCCUCUGCAGGGUUGUCAACACAUGCCAUGGAAGGUCUAGUGCCCACUGGUUUUUGUUUUGUUUAAGACAACUGGGACAUUACUGGUGGGCCUGGUAACCCAGCCAGCCAGAGGAAUCCUUCUCAUUAAUAGCUGAUGUACAGGACAAUUAUCAAGGACCGGAGACUGAAACCGGAGAGGGGGAGCUGUUGGUUACCUGAGCCCCAGAGAGAUGACUCUCCAAAGGCCAGCUGCUCAGCUGGGGGGGGACCAGAGUUGGAGGAGAUCAGCGGACCAGUCGUACUGGGACACUCUCAUAUCGGAGGUGGAGGUGGUACCCCGACGCACGGCUGUUACAGGACGCAGCGCUCCCCGGCCACAGAGUGCCGUCGAGGGGACAGACCUGGGGCAGAGACUGGACGGUUGGCCGGAGAAGAUGCAGAGCAAGAACAACUACAGAAGAGGAAGCCAAGUUCUCAGCCCUGGCAGCAAGCCAAAUGAACAAGUGGCAAAACCGUGGCCACCACCUCCACGAGCCCGCGUCCGGCCGCAGAGCGCCACAGAGGGAAGCCGUCAGAUGAACGAGUGGUUGCACGAGUUGGAGAGGAUGCAGAAUGGGGGCUAUUUCGGGGGAAGCCCCUCCGUCAACCCGGAGGUGGAGCAUUGCCGGACUGGUCAUCCCCCGCGACCACAGAGCGCCACCGAGGGACACAGCCAGAACCUAGACCGAUGGUUGCAGGAGCUAGAGAGAAUGGAGGACGGGAGCUAUUUUGGAAACUCUAAGCGAGUACAGACAGAGUGCAGACAGGCCCCUUUCCACGACAGGACGUCCUCCAUGCCGGCCCUUCACAGAGAGCCCGUUGGCCCCAGGCUGCUCCACUGCCACCGGGGCCUCUCACCUUCCUCCUCUCUGUGCGGCUGGGACGAAGGUCUCUCUUCAGACUUCCCCAGCCUGUGUGACAGUUCCCUGGGCAGCCAGGAGUCCCUCGGAGGCGGGUUGUCCUCCGACCCGGAACACAGGGGCAGCUGGGAGAGAGCUAGCAUCAAGCAGGCUCCAGGGAGGGAGCAUGCCGAACUCAGCACCCUGACUCCGGUGAGAGUGGGCUGGCUACCCGUCCGGAAGAGGGCCCCGAUGAGGAAUGCCCUGGUCCCUCGACAAACCCAAACCGGCCUUCCAGAGAACUCUGCCAACCAGGUGAUAUUAAAGCUUCCCAUCACCCCUACCUUCGUGAAGGUUCCUGUCAAGGACAACGACCUACGAUUCUCAGAUGCAGGCGCAGAGAAAGUGGAGCGGAGUCAAAGCAGCGUUCACGUCGUGGAUCCUGGAACAAGAUGGCUUCCUGACCAGCGACCUGCCCGGGAGUCUCCCAUCACUCAACAGGUCGCCGGCAAGCAGAGCUCCACCUCAGCGCAGAGUGAAACUAGACCAUUAGGUUGGCAGGCCCUGAGGCGGACCUGGGCUAAGAGGACAUGGUUGUCCCCCCUCAGAGGUGGUGGGCCUCCCCAGUCUAAAGACUCCCUCCCUGGGCCUGGUGCGGAAAAGGAGCCUGUCGGGACAACCAGCGAUACCCAGCAGCCUUCAGCCAGGAGGGUUACACCCUGUGGAACCAAGCUGACCCCACAAUCCACUGACAACCCGGAACCCUGUUGGAGAUCGAGUCUACGCCGGACCAACAGCUUCCAAACGGCUCUGACCAGGACCAUCAAGCCGGCUGUCCAACAGACGCCCACACACGCCAAGGUAACCCCUUCUGGAAGCUGUCCCACCCAGCCUUCCGACACUGGAGUUGGGGAGGGAUCGGCCGGUGCAGCCCCAACUGGUACGACCAUCACCCUGAAGACAGCCAGACAAGCCUUUUCCUCCAUCACCAUAGCCUCCAAGAAGGUCUCCAGGACGGCAAGCCUCCCUGGGUCUAGGUCCACCAGCCCCCAGAUCCACUACACUACGCCGCCCAGGGUCUCCACCAGCUCCCGCUCUGUCACCCAUCAAGACCAGGUCCAUCACCCCACCAGUGCUGAUCCCAACUCCACCUGUGCCAACCUGAGCCGGAUGUCCACAGGGAUGGACUCUGAAACUGUCAACCAAACGAAGGGCUGGCAGAGCCCUGUGUUGCCUGGUGACAGUGACCGUCCAACUGACCCUGUGGUUAGCAGGAGAAAGGUAACAAUCAUAAAAGUGACAGAGAACAGACACAGCUACAGUCCAGGUCAGCAGGGGGGAGGCGGUAGUGAGGGGAACAGCAGCAGUAGGCCUUCAGAGAACAGACACAGCUACAGUCCAGGUCAGCAGGGGGGAGGCAGUAGUGAGGGGAACAGCAGCAGUAGGCCUUCAGAGAACAGACACAGCUACAGUCCAGGUCAGCAGGGGGGAGGCGGUAGUGAGGGGAACAGCAGCAGUAGGCCUUCAGAGAACAGACACAGCUAUAGUCCAGGUCAGCAGGGGGGAGGCAGUAGUGAGGGGAACAGCAGCAGUAGGCCUUCAGAGAACAGACACAGCUACAGUCCAGGUCAGCAGGGGGGAGGCGGUAGUGAGGGGAACAGCAGCAGUAGGCCUUCAGAGAACAGACACAGCUACAGUCCAGGUCAGCAGGGGGGAGGCGGUAGUGAGGGGAACAGCAGCAGUAGGCCUUCAGAGAACAGACACAGCUACUGUGAUGGAGUAAUGACAAAAAACAGUCUCAGGCAACAAGGAACCAGGAACUCUGAAGAGCCGCCACACGGUGCCAGCACCAGCACCGUGUUCUCGUCGGGGCAUCUAGAACCGUCCACGGACAGCAAAGACUGGCCAAACCAUGGUCCAAACCGGGGCCCGAACCGAUCCACUUCAGCAGCUCCAGUUACCUCUUGGGAAUCCGCGGGCAGCAGGGCAGGAGCAGGGAGGCCAAUGCAUAAGUCCACCCUGACCCUGUUCAUCAACCAGCCCUCCGCCUCUCCCAAGGACGUGUCCGCGGAAACGAAAAGGGAAACGGGAGAAGGAGGAGAGAGAAGGGCCCGACCCAGGAGACCCAUAAGCUGCUACGCCAACAUGUUUGAACACACGGAGCCAACUAAGUGGAGCCUGGGCCCCGAUGCUGUCAGUGCAGAACCAAGUUCGUCCGCGGCACAACACCGGAGCCUGGGAGCCGUUACUUCACCACCGGCCUCUGCCACACCGCGGCGUUGGAGCCUGGGGCUUCCUCGCCACAUGCCGGAAACCUGCAUUGAUCCGGUAGCAAUUUCCAAGGACGCCGGCGCUGGAAACAGUUCGACCGCCGGAUUGCUCAGCUCCGGAUCUUCCGUCAGAACCGGAGCAACAGGCAGAGGCUGUGGGACGGGUCGACCGGGCGAGGACCAGUCCUCCGGAGAAGAUGCGGGCGGGGCUGGGAGAACGCCAGAUUCAGCUCUGUCUCCGGACGAGGAAGGCUUCAGGAGCAGACAACCCCAACCCCCAGCUGUCACACUCAUCAAGCCCCAAGACCCAAUAUCACAGCAGCACUCUCCAGAGACUAUCCUAGCCCUGAACGCAGCUGCCAUCAUAGCUAAUAUCAAACUCCAAAGACAACUGAGCCAAACCAAGACUUUGUCUCAAAAUGGCCUUUCCAACGCUAGAAAAUCACCUCAGGGAAAUACUUUGGACUCAGUCUCUCAAAUCACUCACUCGACUCACUCACUCGACUCUCGUACAGUGAAUGAUGCUGGUGGUCUCGUGACAGUAGAGGCUCAUGACAGGACUACCAAACCAGAGAAAAGGAGUCGGACCUCACAACCCAACCCGGACCAUGUAGUGUUUGUACCACUGGAUCCCAAUUCUGACCGUGAUACUAGCACAGACAACAUCCUCUCACCAAGAGAGGCUCUGGAACGAUCCAGACCAGACUUCAUCAGGCGUUCCCAGGGCAGAGUGAGAGAUAUGGAGAGAAGGGCAGAGGAGAGACGGGCAGAGGAGAGACGGGCAGAGGAGAGACGGGCAGAGGAGAGGUCAGAGCGCCUGUUCUCGGAACAACUUUCAGAUAACCUUUUCAGACCCAGAGAUAGAGCCAUUACAGGGAAGACGAUAUAUCACGGAACACGACUGAAACAGAAGAAACAAGCUGAGGAAGCGAAAAGGAGGGAGAUCCAGCUGAUUAACAAAAGGAGGGCAGAUCUCUUCAAAAAGGUACUUAUGUUGCAACUGAAUAUAUUUUGGCCAAAACAUAUAGGAAGAUAUCUGCCCUGUGGAUGGCCCUGA
rnacentral:lncRNA from 1 species